rnacentral:rRNA from 1 species
GUGCCAGCAGCCGCGGUAAUACGUAGGGGGCAAGCGUUGUUCGGAAUUACUGGGCGUAAAGGGCGCGUAGGCGGCAUGGCAAGUCGGGAGUGAAAGCCCGGGGCUCAACCCCGGAGGGUCUCUCGAAACUGCCGAGCUAGAGUGCGGAAGAGGCAAUCGGAAUUCCCAGUGUAGCGGUGAAAUGCGUAGAUAUUGGGAAGAACACCGGAGGCGAAGGCGGAUUGCUGGGCCGACACUGACGCUGAGGCGCGAAAGCCAGGGGAGCAAACGGGAUUAGAUACCCCCGUAGUCC